AACGAACGCUGGCGGCAGGCUUAAGACAUGCAAGUCGAACGCCCCUUCGGGGGAGUGGCAGACGGGUGAGUAACGCGUGGGAAUCUACCCAGCUCUACGGAAUAACUGAGGGAAACUUCGGCUAAUACCGUAUACGUCCUUCGGGAGAAAGAUUUAUCGGAGUUGGAUGAGCCCGCGUUGGAUUAGCUUGUUGGUGGGGUAAUGGCCUACCAAGGCGACGAUCCAUAGCUGGUCUGAGAGGAUGAUCAGCCACACUGGGACUGAGACACGGCCCAGACUCCUACGGGAGGCAGCAGUCGGGAAUAUUGGACAAUGGGCGCAAGCCUGAUCCAGCCAUGCCGCGUGUGUGAUGAAGGCCCUAGGGUUGUAAAGCACUUUCAACGGUGAAGAUAAUGACGGUAACCGUAGAAGAAGCUCCGGCUAACUUCGUGCCAGCAGCCGCGGUAAU
rnacentral:rRNA from 1 species